GGGAUCUUUUAUAGACAAGUUCCAAAUCCUGUCCAGUCAACUGAAUUGCCCACAGGUCGAUUACCGAAGCUGAAGAGACGUCAGACAGAUGAUCAGUGGAAAAAGGGUGCACCUGAGCUCAAUGCUGCCAACUGUGUCAUGGCAAAGGCUGUGAAAACUCAUGUUAUACUAUUUAUUUAUUUAAAAUUUAUUUGCAAGAAUUUCAAGCAAACUUUUUAUGACUUUGUAAUUACGGAGUAUUGUGAAUUUAACUCAUUUUGAAAUGAGGCUGUAACAUGAUGAAAUAUAGGAACAAGUAAAGCAUUGUGACUAUCAGAUGCACUGUACAAAUAAUCCCUGAGAUCCAAAAACUCUGCUCUGAAGGCUGAGGGUGAAUAGAGGGGCUACACAAAAACCCAAUAUAUGUCCCCUUAACCCCUAGUGUAUCAUGUUUCAAACACACAGAUUUUCUGUGAGUUUUUGAGACUUCUACAUCAUCAGUGUGAUUUUUGUCAUGUAUGGAAAUUAAAAUUAACUUAAAAAAAAAAAAAAGUCAGAUGGUCCAGUCUGCAUUUUUACAAAAAGUGUAAUUUUCCUCCAAUUAUUUUAUAUUUUAGGCUUUAAGGAGAUAUAUGGAUUAUUUAGUUAUUCCAGUACUGUCAACUAAAAAUAAAAAAAUCAGUUAAACUGUAUCUUUUAAAAGUUUAAUAUCAGAACAUUCCACUUGUCGUUCAAUAAGGACCUGGGCUGUGAACCAUACCUAUAUUUCUGUGAAUAAGAGGGAAAAUUGCUAGAUGACGACAGUACAAAGCUUCACGGGACUUCGCACACCAGUUGGUGGCGUAACAGUGGCAUUUUCCCCCUAAAGGGACUCACAUCUACUUUCUGCAUAAUUUUGGUAGACACACCUUUCUACAGUGAGAAAAGUAACCUUUCGUUUCCCAGUGUUUGUGCGCUCUGCUUUCAGACCUUAUCCACUUGUGGAUAAGUGCAUUCACGUUUUUUCUUAGCCAACUGUAUCCCUAAGAUCUCAUCAAAACAAGUAACUUGACACAUGCAUAACCUUAUUUUUGGGCAAAGUCACCAAACAUUUUAAUAGCAUUUUAACUUAAAUUUGAUCUGUAAUUCUUCAGACUGUUUUAUGUCUCUGUGACCAUCAACAUGAAAGUUAUAUUUCAUUCCCCAUUCUUUCAGGUAGAGGAUUCAAAAAGAGUGAUUUUGUUUUAUUUUGCUUACAUAAUCUGUUGAUGAAGCUGUUCUUUCAUUUUAACAGAACUGAAAAUGCUGUUUAUUUGAGUAAGUGAGAUCUAUGACAUGUUAUUUUAUGCAGAUUACAUUGUGUUCUCACAAAAAACAGUGUAAGAAGUCCCACCUCUUAAUUAUUUUUUUCUUUUGCACACAUUUAUACUUGUUUCAAAAUCCAUAGCAUUUUUAUACCCCCCCCCCCCAAAAAAAAAAACAACAACAACAAAAAAACCCAAAACAAAACAACAGAAACACGCGUAACUGCACAGAUACACUAGCUUUCCUGCUGAAUGAGGUCUUUGGCUUUCUGCAGGUUGUGAUCGAUGGCUCCAUCUAAGAA
ensembl:lncRNA